AUGUUCUUCGACAAGAUCAAAAAGAAACGCGGGCACGCCAUCCUUGGCCCGUCUGACCCCAACACCGUCCGUGUCCGCCGCAUCGCCUCUGAUAUCAUCCGUAGUGUCAACGACGUCUUCCCCACCAACAGCCCCCGCGGACAAGACGGUACGCUGGUGUGGCCGCAGACGAGACAUCUUGAUGACCUUGACUGGGAGGUGAUCGUCGUCAAUAAUGCCAGAGUUAAGGCGUACAGCUUCCCCAAUGGUAAGAUUGUGAUCCACACGGGAUUGCUCGACUGCCUAAAGACGGACGCUGAAAUCGCCGCCCUUAUUGCGCAUGAGGCUGGACACGUUGUUGCAAAGCAUUACAUGGAGGUUUCAAGGAUCAUUCCUCCGAUAUGUGACCUACUAGCCGUGCAAAGGAAUGAGAUGGAGGCAGAUCUCAUCGGACUGAAGCUACUGGCAGCCGCUGGUUUUGAUAAACACGUAGCUCAUGGCGUCUAUGAGAAGUUCGGGGAGAUCGGACGAGAAUGGGGGUUUCAUCCUUGGUGUAAGAAAGAAUAA
rnacentral:rRNA from 1 species